GCUGAUUCUCCUCAAUGUCCAGACUGAAGGACAUAUUAGAGCACCCUACAACUUCAGUGCUCCUACCUUUCCUUCCCAAAGCUAAACCCAUGUGUAUCAGACUCUUCUCUUACUGCAUAGUGGUAAAGCACCAAGAUCCAAGUGUAUAUCCUGAUUGCACCACGAUUUUUCCCUUUUCUCCUGAUAGGAGUGAGACCCAACUGUUUACCAGACUCAGUCAUUUUCUCUUGAUGCCUUUCUGAUCACAGCAGAAAGGAUAGCAAAGCAUGCAUUCCUGCUGGUUGAAGAAAAGGCACCUCUUGUUCCAGUGGAAUGUUAACAGUGGAGUUAACACUGUAAUUUAUUCUUCUUCUAUCCUCAGUCUUUGCUCUGCCCUUCCACUGCUGUUUUGAAUCUUAUCCCUUCUGCCUUUCAGUUGAAUUGUUUUUUGUCUGUGUAGCUUCAGUGCCACUGCUGCAAUCAUGAGAUUUUGAACAGAAGAUGAAAAAAAGUAAAGAUUUGGAGGUUUCUUCCACUGAGAGUUCCUAAUCUGGAAAUGAGUGACUAAGGGAAGGACUUAGUAUACUGGUGCAGCUAUAAACUCACAUUGUGAUGCAAUUGCAAAAAGGGCAAAAUGCAAUUAGAACUAUGUUACAUUGGAAAGAAACGUUAUUAAGCUCUUGAUAAAAGAAAUUCUGAAAAACUAUGUUCAAGAAAAAAGAGGAAAGAUAAACUAGAACUUGAAUAGCUGCAAGUACAGAACACCGUCAAGAAAAAGACGAACCAGCAAACGACCUUUAACUGAAAAGGUUUGAAUUGUUUACUUUAGCAAACCAAAACCAAACAUCUCUUCUAAAGAAGAGAUGUUAGUGAAAUUCGCAAACAUAUCAAACAUAAAUACUAGGAAGAAAAGGGCUAUCUGUCUAAAGGGCCAUGCUGACACCCAACAAGAAUAAUAAUCAGCUAUAAAAUGUGAGGAAAAAUGAACUAACAAACCCUCCUUUCUCUUUGCAUAAUAUGGUUGCUUUGUCUUGAUUUAUGCAUGAGCU